GGGGAUGUAGGGACUUGUAAAGUGUGGAUGGGUCCUGAUAUUGUGGCACAUUUUCCUGGCUUAUACACGACCCCGGUGGAAUGGGCUAGCAAUAGGAUGGGAGUCCUCACUCCCACUCCCUUUACCCAGGGGCCUGCCUGACCUCAAG